AUACGUAGGUGGCAAGCGUUGUCCGGAUUUACUGGGUGUAAAGGGCGCGUAGGCGGGAUGGCAAGUCAGAUGUGAAAUCUCCGGGCUCAACCCGGAAACUGCAUUUGAAACUGUCGUUCUUGAGUAUCGGAGAGGCAAGCGGAAUUCCUAGUGUAGCGGUGAAAUGCGUAGAUAUUAGGAGGAACACAAGUGGCGAAGGCGGCUUGCUUGACGACAACUGACUCUGAGGCGCGAAAGCGUGGGGAGCAAACAGGAUUAGAUCCCCUGUUAGUCCACGCCGUAAACGAUGAAUACUAGGUGUGGGGGGACUGACCCCCUCCGUGCCGCAGUUAACACAAUAAGUAUUCCACCUGGGGAGUACGGCCGCAAGGUUGAAACUCAAAUGAAUUGGCGGGG
rnacentral:rRNA from 1 species